rfam:Octopus bimaculoides Scaffold50416_contig_18, whole genome shotgun sequence.
AAAAUGGCCCUUUUUAGGGCCCCUACAUUAUAUCCUUAGUAUUCUCU